CGGAGACGUUCCUCCUGGCUGGCAAGAGAUCACGACGGAUUGUCUGAACAGCAAUAGCAAGGAAUGUGAAGCAGGCAUAACGCACUGUGAAAAAACAACGGUAUUCUUUACUAACCCGGACAAGUAUCAGAUUGAUCAACAGGCAUGUGGGGAGCAGCAAUAUAACAAUUGCCACAAAGCAAUAUAACAAUUGCCUAUUUUAAGACUGGGGUAAAAAUAGCCACUUCGAUAACAAUUAUCACAGGUGGUGCGAACCCUGGGAAGUUCGAAACGGUGGUGUUGGUACAAAAUGCCGCUGUUCCAAGGAUCUUUGCAAUGUCUUUCCAAAAAACGCAUCAACCGUUAGCAGUUCCCAAACCAAUAAUCAAACGAAUAACCAAACCCAAGGCAAUAACAC